AUCUAUGGCCAUACUACCCUGAACAUGCCUGAACUUGGAAGUUAAGCAGGGUCGGGCCUGGUUAGUACGUGGAUGGGAGACCUUGUGGGACCCCUUAUAGAGUCUCAGGAA
ensembl:rRNA 5S_rRNA 5S ribosomal RNA